AUGUAAGAAACAUAAAGAACGGUAAUACCGGUUAAAAGCAUUGACAGAUUUAACGAAGAACGCUUUGUCAUGGACAUGCAAGCCUCGAAUGUUUAUGCAUCCAUCCCCACAAUGCCAGAAUUAGGGAUGGUAUGGAUGGGGGACAUGAUGGUACACGGAGAACCUACGCACGAGCUAAUGUUGGACCCUCGUCCGAGCGAAAGUCCAUUUUUUUCUCAUGGUUCGCAUGCUUACGAGGAUCUUAGGAGUCAUCAAAUUGCUCCUACAACGAUGGUACGAUAUUUAGCACCUCAAUAUCCCAAUGAGUGUUCAGAACCGGAUGAAACUAUGGAAACUAUGGAUACGCAAGAGAUGCAACAAGAAUAUGACUCGCAAUCUGAAAGACAAGAAAUGAGUGAAUAUUUAACAUUAGAAGAUUAUAUGGCUGACGAUGAUAGAGAACAGGUAGUAAGUAAUGCGGCAACUCAAACUACUCAUGAUGGCUCGCCGUUGUUACGAAAUCGGAAAAUAAAGCCUAUAAAACAUCCUGGGCUUAUUUUAAAGACACCGAUUGCCUAUCAACCGCAUACCGAUUUAAACUUCAUUCCCAUUCGUAAAGAUGGCAUAGCUGUUUGUGAAAAAUGUGGUGCCAUUGGAGUUAAACAUGCAUUCUAUACAAAAGAGCGAAGAUUUUGUAGUAGAGCAUGCGCACGUUCUUCGGAGCAUACUGCUUCUACUGCAGAUUCAACGUAUAGCCCAUCGUAUCCCAUAGAACCAACAACAGCUAUGAAUGCCAAGUCUCCUACCGAUACAAAAUCUGCUAAAGAUGUAAUAAAAAAAGAAAUAGAGUUGAGCGAACCUAUCAAGGAAGACGAAGAAAAAGUUAUAGCAGAGCCUGUAAUGCCUGAAGAUUUACCAGUAAGAAGGAAGAGAACUGCAGAAAUGGCAGGCUCCUAUGAUUGGACCCCGCAUUUAGUUGAACCUGGAUUUUGUGCUGCACCAGUUUCUUGUUUUAAACACGCACCCAUAUCCGAAAUAUGGGACAACAUAACAGUGGGUAUGAAAGUCGAAGUUGAAAAUACUGAUUGCGACGAAGUAUGCGAAGCUUUUCCAGACUCUUUUUGGGUUGCUACUGUAUUACGCAUAUCUGGAUAUAGAGCUCUAUUGAGGUAUGAAGGAUUUGGUCAUAAUGCAGAGAAAGAUUUUUGGGUAUCGCUUUGUUCCAACGAUAUUCACCCUGUUGGUUGGUGUGCCACAAUUGGGAAACCGCUUAUACCACCAAACACUAUCGCUAAUAAGUACAAAGAUUGGAAGGACUUUUUAAGAAGAAGGUUAACCGGUGCAAGAACAUUAACAACUAAUUUCUAUAAUAAAGUUAAUGACAGUAUGAAAUCUCGCUUUAGAUGCGGACUUCAUUUAGAAGUAGUAGAUAAAAACAGAAUUUCUCAAGUUAAAGUAGCUACAAUACAAAAAAUUGUUGGUAAGCGAUUGCACGUAAGAUAUUAUGAUUCACCACCCGAAGAUAAUGGUUUCUGGUGUCACGAAGACUCUCCUCUUAUACAUCCUGUUGGUUGGGCAAAGAGAGUAGGACAAACGUUGGAUGCAUAUCCUGAAUAUUUAGAACGCAUUUCUAAAGCAAAAUUGUGCGAAGAUGAUGCUACGGAUGGUCUUUUUCAUGUGCCAAAGAAUCAUCAUCUCCACCUAGGAUAUACUUUUAGAGAAGGAAUGAAAAUAGAAGCUAUCGAUCCUCUUAAUCUUUCUGCUAUCUGUGCAGCCACAGUUAUGCAAGUUCUAAAAGAAGAUUAUAUUAUGAUUCGUAUUGAUAGUUAUGACGAAGAUGCUAGUGGUGCCGAUUGGUUUUGCUAUCAUUCAUGUUCUCCCUGUAUCUUUCCUAUUGGAUUUUGUUCUCAGCAUGGCCUACCGCUUACACCGCCGAAAGGUUAUGAUUCAACCACCUUUACGUGGGACGCAUACUUGAUAGAAACAAACACUGUACCAGCCCCUGUACAAUUAUUUAACAGGGAAAUACCCCAACAUGGAUUCAUCGAAGGUAUGAGACUGGAAGCUGCCGAUUUGAUGGAUCCUAGAUUAGUAUGCGUUGCUACUAUCACCAGAGUGAUCGGUCGAUUGUUGAGGGUACAUUUUGAUGGUUGGGAGGAUGAAUAUGAUCAGUGGUUAGAUUGUCAGAGUCCAGAUAUUUAUCCAGUUGGUUGGUGCGAUCUCGUAGAUCAUAAAUUAGAGGGGCCCCGUGUACUCGUUAAAAACACUAGUCCUACUGUAAAAUCACCAAGAGGCCUUAAACGUAAAUCUAAGAAAAAAGUAAAAAAAGGAAGCAAGGUAUUUUGCGCAAAAAAUAUUCUACCUCGUCAUAGUGAACGUAUUAGUAUGGCACGUGAACGUGAACGAGAAUUAGAACCGGCACAAGGAACAAAAAUUGAACGAGAACGCGAUCUUGAGAGUUUACCGGAACAAGGAAGUAGAGAGCCAGAACCGGCAGAAGAACCUGCCGGCCCUGAUCAAACUUUACCUAGUCCAACGAGUGGACAAGGUCAAGCAUUGAGCGAUAUGCAAAGUGAUGUGCAAAGCCCUCCACCACCCAAAGAAAGAAUCGCGACAUCGUACAUCAAUGUAACUUCAGGAAAUACAAAAUAUAUUCCAAGGUUAGCAGACGUUGUUCCAAAAGGUUCAGAUUGUGGUGAUUUGGUGCCAUCUGAAUGGAAUGUUUUUGACGUUGCUCAAUUUCUCCGUGUCAAUGAUUGUGCAACGUACUGUGACAACUUUAGCAAACGCAAAAUCGAUGGGAAUACUUUGCUAACUCUAACAAAGGACCAAAUAAUAGACCUAACGGGUUUCAAAGUUGGACCUUCCUUAAAAAUUUAUGAUCUUAUUCAGCAAUUAAAAAUCAAAGUAAAUCCAGCUCAGGAAAGAUUGAAACUAGGACUAAAAAAAUUAUUAUAACAUACCUAGUAUAUAGCUCUGAUAUUAUGAAUAAGUUUCAACUGAAAACUAGAUUAAACAUGGAUUUACAGGUAAGGCAUGUGGAUACGUUUGAAUCGUCACAUGUUGCAUCUAAGUUGCACUCCGUUUAAUAGCCUUCUGGCAGUAAUUUGUUUCGGCGAGUAACGACAUGUUUUCUUCUUUUCUUGUAUUUCUUUCUUUUUUCUUUUAUUACGUACUGUAAAACCUAAGAACAGAAUUUGAUUGAAUACAUAAUUGGACGCUAAUGUAAAUGGACGUUAAAAGAAGCUGUUCGAAAUCAAUAUUAUGUACAAAAUAAUUCAGAAUACUUGGAUACAUACAACAUUAAUAUGUAGAUAAGAUUUUAUAUAUGCAUUUUAAAUAUUUGUUUGUAUUUAUAAAUAUGUGAUUUAUUUUACCUAGGAAGUUUUCAUUCUAGCGAGUUAUUUUCCCUGUAUUGCCAUCAUUUGUAAAUCCAUGAGUCAGUUAAAUUCAUCGAAUGCAAAUGCACCAGCCAUUUAUCGGUAAAGUCAGAAAGAAAUGUUUUUCAACCGAAAUAGAGUUUAGAGAUGAAAUGUAAGAACUAUAGAAAAUUCUGUAUUACAGUUUACACGUAGACAAAUAUAAUCGAAUGGACUACUACCUUCAUUAAUUUGUGCCAGAUUACACAAUUUCCAUUAAUAUAUUUGUACAUAGCUAAAGGGAUGUAAGUUAUCCAUUUUUCUGCUUGUAAAUAUUAUUUUAAGAAUAAUACAAUAUCGAGACCAUUAGUGGCAAAUGGAAAAAAAAGAAGUGCAUGGCGUUAAUAGCACAUGACAAUUAUUACCAAUUGGCUGAUGCGUUUGUAUCAACGUACGUUAAGGUACGCAAUAUUAAUGCGGAACUUACUCGUCAAUACAGUGAAAAAAAAAAAUCAAAGAAAAUAGAUAAAAAUAUAAUAUAAGAAUAACUCAGCUUUUUGACUCACAUAAAAUACUAUUUUAGUACCACAGAGUAACGCAUGUUACUCUUAUUAUUUAUUCACUGUUUUUGAAAACAUUGUAGCAAUUAACUCGAACUUGUACCUUAUAUCUGGCAUUUUAACAAAUUUUGUUGAUUAACUCGGAGACAAAUUAUCCAUUAAUUGUAGAACCCUGUCACAAAGAAGUAACACACUAAGCUACAGUCUAAAUAGUUUCCGGGCAUCUAAAGUGCACUGGGUCUAGCGAAGUUUAUUAAAUAGAAAAUUUGGAUUUGUUAAGAAUUGACAAAAUUGAUCACACGAUGUUCAUACUAAAAUAUAAAAGAUAUAUUAAUUUUCUUUUAUAUUCAACAGAGAUUGUGAAAAUGUAUAAAAUGUAUCGUAGGAUAAAUGAGGAAAUGUUAUCAUCUUACAAUCCAAUUUCAAUCCAACUGCAAUUCAAUUUAAAUCCAAUUUUUGGAUAAUAAGGUAUAAAUGUUUUUUGAUUAAGUAUGAAAUUAAUAUUUAUAAUAUUUAUACUAUUUUCAUUGUUUAAUAAUGCGUUUACGAGUACAAAACUUUCUAAUAGCCAUAAAAUUUGGAUUACAGCUAUUUAAUUGUUAGUAAUAUAAAGAAAGUAAGUCGCGAGACUCAGAUUUUUUCCAAACUGACAGACUCGGACAGGUUUCAAAAGCUAUGUUUUUUGACAGUUGGCAAAGUUUCGCAAAAUAUUCAUUCAAGAAUAGCAUGACUCGUAAAACUUAUUACCCAAAUUUUUGAGUAUUAUUGAACGUAUACUAGAACAACUGCAUAGUAUUACUGCAAUCAUUAAAUAGAUGUUACUAACAAUAAGAGGAUACAAAAGAAACAGGUGUAAAAGGAUAUAUGGUGCAGGGAAAUAUAAGUCAUAGAUCAUAAAAGUAAAUUAUAUUAUAUACUACAAUACAUAGAUUAUAAAUGCAGCCUGUGAUAUUUGCUGCGUUAAAAAGUAGAAAUUUGGUCGAUUGCUCUUGUCACAAAGCAUAAUCUAUUCCCAUAUAUGCUGUCUGCAUAUAUUGCCUAUCGUCUGGUUCCGUUUUCAAAUUCGUCGAAGAAAAAGAAAAUAUGCAUUGUAAAUGAUCUAAUCAUAUUUUGAUGCUUCUUUAGAAAUUUGUUUUGCCUAACUUUAAACAUAGAUUAUUUGAAAGAAGUUCGAACCACGCAAACUGUAUUCACAAUUGUAACCCAUAAGAAGCCAUUUAUCAUCUAUUAAGUGUAAUAUAUAUUUCUUUUUACUUAUAGUCCAAACUAUGGGGAAUAAAUAUGAAUACAGUUGAUAUAUUUCGAUGAUAGUGUAUAAAAGUAUUUAUCGGUAUGAUAGAUUUGAAGUUAUGUCGGAUUGAUGCUUUUUUGUUUUGUUUUUUUUUUUUUUUCUUUUCUAUAAGCUUCUAUCUCUUAAUACUUAUAUUUCUUUUUUAUAAGAAUAAAUAAGAAUUGAUUAAGGAUUAAUGUUUUACACAUAUUGUAAAGAACAUGCAAAUAAUGACGGAAGUACAUUGUUUACAUAAGA
rnacentral:misc_RNA from 1 species